rnacentral:rRNA from 1 species
AUUGAACGCUGGAGGCAGGCUUAACACAUGCAAGUCGAGCGGGGUGAUGGUGCUUGCACUAUCACUUAGCGGCGGACGGGUGAGUAAUGCGUAGGAAUCUGCCUAUUAGUGGGGGACAACAUCUCGAAAGGGAUGAUAAUACCGCAUAAGUACUACGGGAGAAAGCAGGGGGUAAAUUGUGAACUUGCGCGAAGAGAUGAGCCUAAGUCGGAUUAGCUAGUUGGUGGGGUAAAGGCCUACCAAGGCGACGAUCUGUGUCGGGUCUGCGAGGAUGAACCGCCACACUGGGACUGAGACACGGCCCAGACUCCUACGAGAGGCAGCAGUGGGGAAUAUUGGACAAGGGGGGGAACCCUGAUCCAGCCAUGCCGCGUGUGUGAAGAAGGCCUUAUGGUUGUAAAGCACUUUAAGCGAGGAGGAGGCUCUUUUGGUUAAUACCCAAGAUGAGUGGACGUUACUCGCAGAAUAAGCACCGGCUAACUCUGUGCCAGCAGCCGCCGUAA